UUUCUCUCCACCUCUGUCACAUGACUACAACCAACCAGGAAGUGUGAAGACCAACACCUACUUCCACCAAACGAUUAGCUGAUUGGCUGUAAUGUGCAGGAUAGUGGAGAUGACGGGGCUCGCCAUCGCUCAUCUGCCAUGUUCGAUGUCAGAAGAAAAGCUGAGAGACAUUAGCGUUAUGGUGCUGAGAGGAAGCUGACCCGAUUUGGCCACACUGUGAAGUUCAUUUAGCGAAACCUCGUGAGACGACUGGAGCAGCGAAGAGCCUUGCAAUGGCAUUAAGUGCGGCACGGAGACGUGAAGCGAUCGCUCAAAAUCUCAUCACAGCCAAGGUCUUUAGAACAUUUGUCACCUAAUUAGGUAUUGGUACAGGCCCAUUAAUUACACACACACACACACACACACACACACACACACACACACAGCUUUUUUUUUUGACUCAGUGUGAUAUUUUUAUCCUUUCAGUGAACCCACAGCAUUAAUUAAGGUUAUUUAUAAUAAAUAAGAAUAAUAGUCCAUUUUUA